UACGAAGGGUGCAAGCGUUACUCGGAAUUACUGGGCGUAAAGCGUGCGUAGGUGGUUUGUUAAGUCUGAUGUGAAAGCCCCGGGCUCAACCUGGGAAUGGCGAUGGAUACUGGCUCGCUAGAGUGCGGUAGAGGAGAGUGGAAUUCCCGGUGUAGCAGUGAAAUGCGUAGAGAUCGGGAGGAACAUCAGUUGCGAAGGCGGCUCUCUGGACCAGCACUGACACUGAGGCACGAAAGCGUGGGGAGCAAACAGG
rnacentral:rRNA from 1 species